GGGGCCAUGAACACGGGGCCAUGAACCCGCUGACCUUCGAGCUGCGGGGCUGCAGCAGCGGCAGAAUCCGCCGGGGACGAAGAAAUCUUUGGGGUCACCAGAACCCUUUGGGGUCCAUCAAAUCCUUUUGGGGUCACCAGAACCCUUUGGGGUCCAUCAAAUCCUUUUGGGG